GAUGAACGCUAGCUACAGGCUUAACACAUGCAAGUCGAGGGGCAGCGGGAGAGUAGCUUGCUACUCUUGCCGGCGACCGGCGCACGGGUGAGUAACACGUAUCCAACCUGCCCAUGACCCGGGGAUAGCCCUCUGAAAGGAGGAUUAAUACCCGAUAUGGUUGACCAGGGACAUCCCCGGUCAACCAAAGAUUCAUCGGUCACGGAUGGGGAUGCGUCUGAUUAGCUUGUCGGCGGGGUAACGGCCCACCGAGGCGACGAUCAGUAGGGGUUCUGAGAGGAAGGUCCCCCACAUAGGAACUGAGACACGGUCCUAACUCC
rnacentral:rRNA from 1 species